rnacentral:rRNA from 1 species
GAUGAACGCUGACGGCGUGCCUAAUACAUGCAAGUCGAGCGAACGGACGAGAAGCUUGCUUCUCUGAUGUUAGCGGCGGACGGGUGAGUAACACGUGGAUAACCUACCUAUAAGACUUGGAUAACUUCGGGAAACCGGAGCUAAUACCGGAUAAUAUUUUGAACCGCAUGGUUCAAAAGUGAAAGACGGUCUUGCUGUCACUUAUAGAUGGAUCCGCGCUGCAUUAGCUAGUUGGUAAGGUAACGGCUUACCAAGGCAACGAUGCAUAGCCGACCUGAGAGGGUGAUCGGCCACACUGGAACUGAGACACGGUCCAGACUCCUACGGGAGGCAGCAGUAGGGAAUCUUCCGCAAUGGGCGAAAGCCUGACGGAGCAACGCCGCGUGAGUGAUGAAGGUCUUCGGAUCGUAAAACUCUGUUAUUAGGGAAGAACAUAUGUGUAAGUAACUGUGCACAUCUUGACGGUACCUAAUCAGAAAGCCACGGCUAACUACGUG